rnacentral:rRNA from 1 species
AGCGAACGCUGGCGGCAGGCUUAACACAUGCAAGUCGAGCGGGCGUAGCAAUACGUCAGCGGCAGACGGGUGAGUAACGCGUGGGAACAUACCUUUUGGUUCGGAACAACACAGGGAAACUUGUGCUAAUACCGGAUAAGCCCUUACGGGGAAAGAUUUAUCGCCGAAAGAUUGGCCCGCGUCUGAUUAGCUAGUUGGUGAGGUAAUGGCUCACCAAGGCGACGAUCAGUAGCUGGUCUGAGAGGAUGAUCAGCCACAUUGGGACUGAGACACGGCCCAAACUCCUACGGGAGGCAGCAGUGGGAAUAUUGGACAAUGGGCGCAAGCCUGAUCCAGCCAUGCCGCGUGAGUGAUGAAGGCCCUAGGGUUGUAAGCUCUUUUGUGCGGGAAGAUAAUGACGGUACCGCAAGAAUAAGCCCCGGCUAACUUCGUGCCAGCCGCCGCAGUAAG